rnacentral:tRNA from 1 species
UGGGGCGUCGCCAAGUGGUAAGGCACCAGGUUUUGAUCCUGGCAUUCGCAGGUUCGAAUCCUGCCGCCCCAG